AAGUAAGUGUUAAAUUAAGAGAAUGCAACUAACACCGAAAGAAAAAUGAAAGUUACUGAAAAUAAAAAACUUUAUUGCAGUACCUACAUACACUUUCUACAUCUAAUUUUGUUUAUUGAUCACAUUCAUUUACUUGAAAAAGUAUCAGGCCUAUGAAUCGUCGUCUGGAAACAGCUAACCACACACCAACCUUCAUUGCGUGUGAUGGUGUUUCUUCAAAAGCCCUAACAGAUGAAACCAGGCUUCAUCAGAAAAGAACGACAAAUCGAGAAUCCCGUUAUCGUCCAUAUCAGCUUGAAACCAACUACAAUACCCAACGCGGCAAGGAAAAUCAGCUGGUUGCAGCUCCUGAACCAACAAAAUCUUGUAUGGAUGCAUAUGUAACUUCUCUUUUACGAUUUUCUGACAUGGGCUGUAUGGUACUCCGGACAGUAAAGAUUUUUGACAAA